ACGGUGAGUGGUGAGAAAGGAGGGUGACGGAGCUCCGAUCCCAGAAGUGAAAGUCGAUCAGUCGUGUCCUACUCAUUGAGACCCCAUGGACUAUACAGUCCACGAAAUUCUCCAGGCCAGAAAACUGGAGUGGGUGAAGAAAAUCCCCAGGGUGCCACAGCCAGCAAGGGGCAGAGUCCACCGGGAUCGGAACCCAGGCAGGCCUGCCUUCCAGCCACGCUCUCACCUCCCAACUCCCUGGACACUCUGUUUCGCUCACUGUCUCCCAAGCCCCAGCAUCAUCUGAGCGUGACCUCAAGAUCCAAGCAGGAGGCCCAUUCACCAGGCCAGCCUCGGGGGCCUUGUGCUGCCUGCUCUCCAGGGCAGAAAUGGAAAAUUUUGCCUUGAGGUGGAAAUUUUGAAAAAGACAACCUGUGCUAGCCAUCUCGAGGAGAGGUCUGCAUGUCGUGUGUGUCCUUCCAGGUCUUAUGAUCCCCAUUGUCAACGUGUGGGACCUGCUACCUCCAUGGCCCUGCCACCUGCCUUCCACACUCAACAACCCAUUGGAAACCGCCUUCCCUCCACUGACACCCCACUGGCCCCAGAGUCCCUUUCCACUCCCAUAGUGUCCUAGGAAAAAAUAAUUGCAUCACCUUGCAAAUUGAAGCCCCCCAGAGUCCAGGUCUCUGACCUCAGUGAGGCCCUGGCAUGCAUGACGAUCUUGAUUUGCCCCAUUUCUCUCAGCCGCUCUUUUAGCUUCCCAGUGUGCCUCCAGCCCUCACCCACCAACCUGGGAGGAAAACCAUGCCUCCUUGGCUCCAUGACAACCGAGGCCUCCAACUGUGACUGGCCUCAACUGCUGUGGCCUCUCUUCCAUGACCCCUUCUCCUGCUCGCAGCCACCCAGCCCCUGAUAUCUGGUCCCACUGUCUGCCCCCUCCACAGGCUCCUGUCCCAUCAGUCACGUCCUCUUCCUCUUACGUCUUCAAAGGUUUCCUCUCUCCUGACCAUGUCCCCCCCCCAAACUUAUUGAUAUGCUCAAAACAUACGUAUCCUUAAUUUUGAGUCUCUACAGCUUUGGUUCCUCUUUCCUGCCCUUCUCA